CUCCCACAAGCAAGGAGCUCUCCGCCAUCUCCGACAAGCAAGCAUACAUGGCAACAAGCAUUUUGGACCUCAACUCUGCCCCUCCAGAACAAUUGGAUGGUGAAUUAGUACCUGCUGAAGGUGAGAACGCAGCUGGCAAGGAAGGCGAUGCUCCCAUUCAAGCUGCAGGUGUUCCUCUAGCAACACGUUUUUUUCCUAGACAUCAACUCUACUCCAGAAUUAGUUGAUGAAAUCGUACCUGGAGAUGAGGCUGUAGGCAACGAGGAAAUUGAUGCUAUGGCUCAAGAUGAAGAAGACAUUGUCCCUGCUCAAGAUGAAGAAGACAAUGCUCCCAUUGAAG